rnacentral:rRNA from 1 species
UACAGAGGUCUCAAGCGUUGUUCGGAUUCAUUGGGCGUAAAGGGUGCGUAGGUGGCGCUGUAAGUCAGGUGUGAAAUUUCGGAGCUUAACUCCGAAACUGCAUUUGAUACUGCGGUGCUCGAGGACUGGAGAGGAGACUGGAAUUUACGGUGUAGCAGUGAAAUGCGUAGAGAUCGUAAGGAAGACCAGUGGCGAAGGCGGGUCUCUGGACAGUUCCUGACACUGAGGCACGGAAGGCCAGGGGGAGCAAAACGGG